rnacentral:rRNA from 1 species
UGGCGACGGGUGAGUAACGCGUGGGAAUCUAUCCAGAUCUUCGGAACAACUGAGGGAAACUUCAGCUAAUACCGGAUACGCCCUACGGGGGAAAGAUUUAUCGGUUCUGGAUGAGCCCGCGUUGGAUUAGCUAGUUGGUGAGGUAAUGGCUCACCAAGGCGACGAUCCAUAGCUGGUCUGAGAGGAUGAUCAGCCACACUGGGACUGAGACACGGCCCAGACUCCUACGGGAGGCAGCAGUGGGGAAUAUUGGACAAUGGGCGAAAGCCUGAUCCAGCCAUGCCGCGUGAGUGAUGAAGGCCUUAGGGUUGUAAAGCUCUUUCAGUAGGGAAGAUAAUGACGGUACCUACAGAAGAAGCCCCGGCUAACUUCGUGCCAGCAGCCGCGGUAAUACG